CGUAGCCAAACGCGGUCUAUAAAUAAUAUCUAGGCCAUGUUUUCUUUCCUAUUCCUUCUCCCCUUUGUUUAUAUUGAAUGCUCUUGUUUUUUACUCUGAUGAAACUCCGUGCCUUAAUCCGAAUGUCCUAUGAAGAUGAAGAAUUCUAUUUUCGCAGUUAGUUUUUGACAGUGUUUGGAAACAGAUGUGGAAAUGGCCGCUGAUCGCGUAUUGCUGUUGCUGCUGAACAUAAUUGUAACUUUCACACGAAGACGUAUUGCUAAUGGCUGGGCAGUUGUCAACAUCUUCAAUAGCAGUCAUUCAUUAUCAAAUAAUUAAUUGUCGUGAUUGACAUUGUUAGCUUUCUUUGCGUUUGAUAAGAAGAAAGUCUCCAAGUCGUUAGCGGCAGAUCAAACGUUUAAACUUUUUGGUCUGCACAAGCAGCUUCAGUUUGUUGUUUCUGGCGAUGUUUAGCCCGGGUCAGCUUUGAUCGAAUCAGCUGGCUUAUGAUGAAAGGCGUUCCAUGGUGACCAUCCUAUCUUUUUCAUGAUUAUCUUUUGUCGUUUGUCUUUUACUUGUAUCAGUCACUGACUGCGGCCAUGCUGGGGCAGUGCCUUGAAGGGUUUACUUGAAUAAAUCAACUCUAGUACUUAA